rnacentral:rRNA from 1 species
GGAGUAUGGACCGUGUCUCAGUUCCAUUGUUGCCGUUCAUCCUCUCAGACCGGCUACCGAUCGUCGGCUUGGUGCACCUUUACUACACCAACUACCUAAUCGGACGCAGGCUCCUCGCAAAGCGAUAAAUCUUUAGUAACAAAGUCAUGCGACUCCACUACAACAUCCGGUAUUAGCGUCCCUUUCGGGACGUUGUCCCCGACUUUGCGGCAGAUUACCUGCGCUUUACUCACCCGUUCGCCACUAAACCCGAAGGUUCCGUUCGACUUGCAUGUGUUAAGCACGCCGCCAGCGUUCGUCCUCGAGCCAUGAUCAAACUACU